rnacentral:lncRNA from 1 species
AAAAAGAACAGAUUACAUGGGAAUUUUUCCAAACUUAAUUCAGAAAUAAAUAUAUCAGUCAGUGUCAGAGAAUGCAUCCCGACCGAAGUCGCAAUGUGUAAGCGAUUUGAAGAAGGCCUGAAUGAAGACAUAAAGCUGUUAGUUAGGAUUCUGGAAUUAAAAUAAUUUGUCAUAUUGGUCAAUCGAGCUCAUAAAGCUGAAGAGCUAAGUAAAUAAAAGAGACAAGCCGAGCUGGAAAUCAGAACUUCAAGUAAAAUAUUUGCUAGAAAGUCAUAUCAGUCGGCCUCAAAGAAGUCAAAGAAAGAUUAUGACCGUUCUGUUACCUCUGCAGGAUAUUCUGGGAGAAGUAAGAGCUAUAACACCCCUAACCUUUAUCCGUUACCGGAACAGGGUUACGGAGCAUUACCAAACUUUACUAAUUAAAUACGGACAUUUCCCAACUUUUGUUACACAUAUUAAAAAUCAAUUAUAUAACACACAUAUUAUCCCUUAGAUGAACCUUCGAGGCUCAAUAUUCACCUUAGAAGUGAAUCGGGACUAAACCGGAUACUUAGGGAAUUUUUCCCAAAAUUUAAAAAAUUUUCUUAGAAGCAGGGGACACAUGCCCGUGUCUCUGCCCGUGUGAACAAAAAUAAGCCAUUUUAAGGCCACUUUUCUCACCCAUUUUGACAUUAACUUGUACUCAACAUUCACAUACACCAAUAUAUCCCAACCAAGCAAUCAAUACAAGCUAAAACAUGUUCUCAACAUGACCUAACAUCACAAAUAUUUCAUUUACUUAUACCUACCUAUUUAACUCAUUUCAUUGAUUUAUCAAAUUCUACUACUAAUUAUAUGUAUACAAACAUUUAACAUUCACAACCACAAUUCAAAUUAUUUCAUUGCCAAACCAACCCUAUACAUGCCAUAUAAACCAAAAUUUACAUUGCAAAAACUACCGGAAUAAACUGGAUAGUGUAGCUUGAUGUGUUGAUCCAAUCUUCUGACUACACGUUAAUCUACAAGAACAUUAAACAACACGAGUAAGCUUAAUAAAACUUAGUAAGUUCAAUAGGUUAAACAUUGAUCUUAUUAAACUUAAUAUAAUAUAAUAAAUUAAAUUGUAAAUAAAUCAUACAUUUUUCCCUGUCAAAUACAAUAUAAUCAAUAAACACACUUCCUUCAGAUCAAUAUCAAUAAUAAUUUAUAAAUCUUUCAAUUCAAUCACAUAAGUCUUUUACCAUUUUUUAUUGAAUCGAAGAACGACUUACAGAUAUGAGUACAUCGUUCUUUUUGUGCCAUAGUCCAACUAUGGUCUUACAUAUGCAGUGCCAUGGCCCUGCCGUGGUCUUACAUUUGUAGUGCCAUAACCCAAUUAUGGUCUUAUCAUCAGAAUGUCAUAGCCCAGCUAUGGUCUUACACAUGUAUCUAUAUUGCCAUGGUCCAACCAUGGUCUUACAUUCAAGGUGCCAUAACCCAGUUAUGGUCUUUUCAUUAAAAUGCCAUAGCUCAUUUAUGGUCUUACAUUUAAAUAUUACCAUGGUUCAACCAUGGUCUUAUCCGUCAAUUCAUUAUUUGCCACGGAAUGAUCGUACUCAAUCCUGCGUUCUACUCGUUUUAAACAUUCAAUUCAAUUUUCAUACUUCUACAAUAAUCUUAAUUUCAACAACAAAACAUGAAUAAAUAUAUUAUACAAUUCCUAAAUUGACAAAUAAUCAUGAAAGUUUAACCAUAUAAACUUACCUGGGUUGGAUUGUAAAAUUGAUAAUAGUUCAGAGACUACUCGGCUAAUUUUCCUUUUUCUCAUUGAUCUACGAGCUCUUGAUAUGAAGUAAAAAUAUAAAAACCAGCUUAAGAAGCUCUCUAAUGGCUGUUUUUGGCUGAGAAUUGAAGAAAAAUUGCUUUGAAAUCUUUAGAUUUCUUUUUAUUUAAGCUUAGUUUUACCAAAUUUACAAUUUUGCCCUUAAAUCACCUAAUUCCAAGAUUUUUUUCUGCUUAUGCCGCCUCAGCCAUUCCUUGGGAUACAUCCAUCAAUAGAAAAUGGGUCCGCCAAGAAUUGCUUCAUGCGGGAGAUGGAUUAUCAAGUGAACCAUAAUGGUGAAGAAGGAAGGUGGGAAGAUUUUCUCCAUGUUGCAUAAAGUUAAAGCGGCUCGAUCCUGUACCUCCUGAAGUUCUUGAACAUCCAAAACUUUGCCACAAAUGGUUUUUAUUAUAUUGGAUAGUUCAAUUAUACAAGACGUCACCUUCUUGGACAUACAACAUCGUAGAGCAACUGGUAGUAAAUCUUGCAUCAAGAUGUGAUAGUCAUGUGAUUUUAGCGAAUAUAAUCUUCGAUCUUUAACACUAACACAUCGAGAUAUAUUUGAUGCAUACACAUCUGGAACCUUAAUAUCCUUCAACACCAUGCAAAACAGUUCUUUUUCCGUAUUGGAUAUUGAGAACAUAGAAGGCAGCAACCGAUAUUUCUCAUUCGGAAGUGGAUUGGGAUGAAGAUCAGGCUGAAUUUCCAUUUGGACCAAAUCAAGUCGACUCUGAAGAUUGUCUUUUGAUUUUCCGUUGAAAUUUAAAAUUGUACCUACAAUGUUCUCAUAGACAUUUUUCUCAAUGUACAUAACAUCAAGAUUGUGUCAUAAAAGGUGAUGCUCCCAAUAAGGCAACUCAAAAAAAAUACUUCUUUUUUUCCACAAGUCCACCUCAUUAGGGUCGUCCUCUUCAUCAGAGUCAUCAUCAGCUUCAUCAUUUGAUCUUCUAUUUCUUUGCGUGUUUGGCGGUUGGUUGAUCUUCCCAUAAAUGAAAUUCAUAUUUUCCAACAUGAACAAGAUUUCAGAGCCACUGGUCUGCGAAGGAGCUUCUCUGAACUCUUCAGUGCUGUCAAAUACAGAACUCUGAAAUCUAAAUCUAUGAUUUUUCGGUAACCACCGACGAUGCCCCAUGUAAGAGAACUUCUUCCCAUUGUACAACCAUUGCGAACAUGUUUGUGCAGCACAACAAGGACACACAUAACGACCCUUGGUACUCCAAUCGGAUAAAUUGGCAUAAGCGGGAAAGUCAUUAAUGGUUCACAUCAAAGCUGCACGUAAAUUAAAGUUCUCAUUUCUCAGCACAUCGUAUGUCUCGACACCAGCCCAUAAUUGUUUUAACUCUUUAAUAAGUGGUUGUAAAUAAAUGUCGAUAUCAUUCCCGGGCCCUUUCUCCCCAGGGAUAAUCAUAGAUAAGAUAAGGGAAGAUUGCUUCAUGCAAAUCCACGGAGGCAGAUUGUAAGGAACAAGCACUACUGGCCAAGUACUGUACGCAGUGCUCAUGAUCUUGAAAGGAUUAAAUCCAUUAGAUGCUAGCCCAAGCCUCACACUCCUAGGAUCGCUUGCAAAGCUUGGAAAUUUAUUGUCAAAUGAUUUCCAAGCUAAAGAAUCUGUCGGAUGCCUUAAUAAUCCAUCAUCGAUUCGUCUAUCAUGGUGCCACAUCAUUGACUCCGCUGUCUUCGACGACAUGAAAAGCCUUUGAAGCCUUGGUAUCAGCGGAAAAUACUGCAAGAUCUUGACUAGCUUCUUUCUAGACUGUGCAUCAUUUUCAUCAUCGUUCCCAUAUUCUGUGUUUCUACUUAUCCAACGAGAGUAGCCGCAUACAUGACAGCACUGUUGGUUUCUCCGAUCGCCCCAAUACAACAUGCAGUCAUUUGGGCAACUAUGGAUUUUGUUGUACCCAAGGCCUAAAUCUUUUAUCAUUCUCUUCAUAUCUUUGCAUGACUGAGGGAUUUUUGCAAACGGAAACAUUUCUCUCAAAAACUCUAACAGCAUUGUCAACGAGUUUCCGGUCCACCCUCCCAAACAUUUUAAUUGAAAAAGGCGAACACAGAAGGACAUUUUUGAAAAUUUUGAUCCUUCAUACAGUUCUUCGUUCAUGUCAUUAAGUAGUGCGUAGAACUUCGCCGCUUCUCCAUUCGGAUCUUCAUGAUGUACACUACUUCCCGGUUCGGUAAAAACAUUUCCACCAAUAUUACAAUCAUCAGAUGCCACAAAGUCCGCCGGAAACGACUGGACACCAUGAUUGUGCAUAUUAAAUACAUCCCGCAACAUACCUUCCAUGUCAUCCCCUCUAUCAAACUGAUGGUAAGCAGUAUCAGGAUAAGAUACAUCCAUCCUUGAAGAGGAAGUACUAGGCGGGCAUUCUCCAUGAAAUAACGAUUGUUUAUAACCCCGAACAAACCCAUCAACAAUUAGAUGCUCGUAUACAACCUCACGAUAAUGCCAGUUUAUGUUGACACAAUUCUUACAGGGGUAAAGAAUCAUGUUCUCUUGGCUUGCGUAUUGAAAUGAAAAAUUUAGAAACGUCUGUACUCCAUUUCGAUAACCGUUGCUUACCCUUGACAAAUUCAUCCAAGACCGGUCCAUUUCUUAAUUAUUGAAGUCUGAUUUUCACCAGAAAUUACAACAUUCAGUUCUUCACUUAUAAGUAUAAAUGAGUUAUGUAAGUUAAGUAAUGUAUUAUGUAAGUUAUGAAAGUUAUGUAAUAAGUUCUGUAUUAUAUAUGUAAGUUAUUUAACUUAUGUAUUAUGAAAUUUUAUCUUAAUAAUAAAUAAGUUAUCUAAACUUAGAAAUUGAUGUGUAAUUAGAAAUUUUAUCUUAAUAUUAUAUAAGUUAUGUAAUGAGAAAUUAAUAUUAUCUAAGUUAUGUUAUUAGAAAUUAAUAUUAUAUAAGUUAUGUAAUUAGAAAUUUUAUCUUAAUAUUAUAUAAGUUAUCCAACUCAUUUAUAUAAGUUAUCUUAAUAUUAUAUAAGUUAUGUAAGUUUAUGUAUGAAGGCUAUGCAAGUUAUGUAAUGUAUCAACUUUUAAAAAUAUAAGAUAAAUUAAAUAAAUAUAUAUAAUUAAUAAGUUAAAAUAAAAUUUAUUAAUAAGUUAUGUAAUUUAUGUAAACACAAUUGCUAAUUCAUUGACAUUCAAUGAAUUAAUCGAUCAAAUUAUUGUAUGAAAAUGAUUAUUAAACACUAACAUUCAAUCAGUUAAUCGCAUCUAACAUCGAUAGUUUAUUAAUUUAAGAGUAAAUUUGAUAACUCAUUUCUUUGCCAAAAUCGAUAAAUUUUUCACAUUAAACCGAAUAAACUAAUCGCCCAUAAUUUAUUCAAAUACUCAAAAACAUAAAGUGCUUUAAGAAUUAGCAUAAUCCAAAAUUUAGUAAACUCUGUAGAUUGUUUUUGUUUGGGUAAACAGUUCGUGGAGACAUAUCAAAUCAUAAUUUAAACAUCGCAAUAAUGUAAUCAGGUAGCUGCAAAGUUACAUACACAAAUUAUAAGUAAACAAAUACCCAUAGGCUCAAAACCAAAAAGCUUAAUUAAAACUCUCUUUUAAUACUCAAAAAUAAUAAGUAAACUAUUAAGUUAAAAUAUAUCAAAAUCAGAAAUUUAAACAUUUGGAUGUGUUUUUGUAAGAAAACUAUGUAGGAAACAUAGGAAUAAAUACCUCAAAUUUCCUCAAAUUUGAAGCAAACUUUUGCAAAAAAAAUAACAAAACACAACUAACUUUAUUAGUACCAAAAAAACAAGAAAAAACACAACAGAAGUAAACAGAGGAUUAUUUAACUACAUUUAGAUUCAAAUCAAUGUAUCAAUUUUAAUUAUCACAACAAUCAACUUAAUAUGAAUUGAUAAAGUAACACUCAAUAAUUGAAUUGUACGAUUCAAUCAAUUGAAGUGAAGGUUAAUGUCUCAACUCUCGAGUAACUAACAAACACAUAACCCGUGGUAGCAUGCAUUCUCAUCCAAUAAUAAUUUUUUUGUAACUACAGCCAAACAAUCAAUAACAAUCAUUCUCAUCCAAUAAUUUUUUUUGUAAAGUUUGAAAGGUAAAUAAAUCUUAUACCAAAUUCUAAUGACAAACAUGCUAAGCUAAGUGUGAUGAAAGAAAAAAAGAAGAAAGUUUUUAAGCUCUGUACUAAUAAAAGCUCUGUAGUCUGUACUAAUAAAAGCAUGGCAAAAGGAACAGUAUUUACAAUUUCUUUCUUUAAUAGAUGGUAAAUUCACUAAUUGAAAAGCACCAGUUUCUGCCUACUGCUCCUUGAAGAUAUACAAGUAAUACUGCCUGAAAGUAAAAUAUAGUGUAAGAACUAGUCCUUAAAUUUUAGAUUUUUGUAGUUUUCUAAUAAGGUUAAUUAAGAUUUAGUUGACUUGGGGUUUUUCAUCACUUCAUAAGAAAAGAUAAGAUUCCCUCGGUUUUCACGGGAGGCAAACAAACAUAGAACGAACUAAGAAACCCAUCCAGCCAACAUCCUUAUCAAGAAAUCAAGAUAUCAAUCAAACUGCUCAAAAAUUCAAAAGGCGAAUCAUAAAAGAAAAAAAAAUCGUUAGCAUACCACAAGAAAAAAGAGAAAAGAAAAUUUGUUUGUUUAACCAAUAAGUUGGAUUAAGAACAAGAAAGAAAACUGAAACAAUCCGUAUGAAAAAAAGAGGCAAAAAUGAAAGAAAAUAACAAUCCGUAUAAAAAAGCAUGCAAGCAAUAUGAUGAGGAUCAACAUAAGCAUCUAACUUAUGUACUUAAGAACUUCAUCGCUGAAGUCAAAAUCCUCAUGCAAAUCUCCCUCGUUCACACUCAAGGAAGGCACUGAAUUUCCCAGAAUCGGAACAGGUUAUCAACAUUUAGUCCUACUAUAUCAGAACAGGUUCCAAAGGAAGGCACUAAAUUUCCCGGAACCAUCCAUGACUAUCAAGUUCCCAACCUAAAGACCUUAAAACAUCAAAACAAUACAGCAUCAAACAUAGUGAAAACAGGGAUUAAAAUAAAAAACCAAAAUUCUUUUAGACAUUACAAUAACAAUAACAUAAAACAAAAUUCCUUAAGAACAUAAAAAUAAUACAGCAUCAAACAUAAGUAAAACUGGGUUUAAAGUUUAAACUAAAACUUAAAACUUUGGGGCUUCAUAAUAACAAAAAGAUAAAAUUCUUCAACAGUUCAUAACAUAAAAAUAAUACCUUCGAACAGUAAAUAACAUUUAAAAAGAAAACAAAAACAAAACUUUGGACAGCAUAAAACAUAAAACAUAAAACAUAAAAUAAGAUGUUUUUAAGUACACAAGAAUUAUCUGGUUGAUUUGCAAGCCAGAGUACAGCUCGAAAAUUUCAAUUCAAAUGAAAACUAAAGUUGGCUCACCUUGAACUUGUUUAUUUGAAGG